rnacentral:misc_RNA from 1 species
GGAAGUAAUCGUAACAAGGUUUCCGUAGGUGAACCUGCGGAAGGAUCAUUAUUGUAUAACCGAGGUGCGAGGGCUGUCGCUGACCCGAAAGGUCGUGCACGCCCGAGUGCCCUCACACACAUUCAUCUCACCCCUAUGUGCACCACCGCGUGGGUCCCCCUUUGGCUUGUUCGGAGGGGGGCUUACGUUUUCACACAAACUUUGUAUGCAGUGUAGAAUGUAUUUUUUGUUUUUGCGAUCACGCAAUCAAUACAACUUUCAACAACGGAUCUCUUGGCUCUC